CAGUAUACUGACUGUGCAAAGGUAGCAUAAUAACUUGUUUUUUUAAUUAAAUUGCUGAAUGAAUGGGGUAAGGAUAUGUUGAAGUUUUCUUUAUUAAUCUAAAGAACUUAAUAAAAAGAGUAAAAAUUUCUCUUUUUUGUUGUUUAAGACGAAAAGACCCUAGUAGAACUUGAAAUAAUUAUUUGUUUUUGUUUGGGGGGUAUCGUAUUUAUUAUGAAUAUAGGUAAAUGAAAAGUUUCCUUAGGGAUAACAAGGGAAUUAUACUUGAGAGUUCGAAUCGAAGGUGGAGAUUCCUAUCUCGAUGUUGAAUCAAAAUAACUUUUAGGUGUAGAGGCUUAAGGAGUUAGC
rnacentral:rRNA from 1 species